GUCCCUUCGGAGACAUCCGAUAAAAUUGGAACGACACAGAGAAUAUUAGCAUGGCCCCUACGCAAGGAUGACACGCACAAAUCGAGAAAUGGUCCAUAUGUAA
rfam:Marchantia polymorpha subsp. polymorpha scaffold3652, whole genome shotgun sequence.